GGCCAGUUAACUUUCCAAAUUGAUUAUAUGCAGCAAAAAUUAUGAGUGCUGUAAACUUGAAAGUUUCCAAGUGUAGUUGAACUUUGUUUUUUAAAAAGCACACAUUAUUCUGAAACAAUUACAUUUUAUUUGAUGGAGUCCACAAAUUCGCCUCUCUGUGGUUACUGCUCACUCAUCAAUAGUUAAAUUACACAACGAAAGACUAUAAGUACAUUUUAAGUAAGUCAUCUAUGUCAGAAAAAAAAUAUAUAUACUGUAUGUUCACAAGACCUUAAGAUUGAGCCCUUGCUGUGCAAAAGUGGCUUAAUAAA